GCUACAGGCUUAACACAUGCAAGUCGAGGGGCAGCAUGGUCUUAGCUUGCUAAGGCCGAUGGCGACCGGCGCACGGGUGAGUAACACGUAUCCAACCUGCCGUCUACUCUUGGACAGCCUUCUGAAAGGAAGAUUAAUACAAGAUGGCAUCAUGAGUCCGCAUGUUCACAUGAUUAAAGGUAUUCCGGUAGACGAUGGGGAUGCGUUCCAUUAGAUAGUAGGCGGGGUAACGGCCCACCUAGUCUUCGAUGGAUAGGGGUUCUGAGAGGAAGGUCCCCCACAUUGGAACUGAGACACGGUCCAAACUCCUACGGGAGGCAGCAGUGAGGAAUAUUGGUCAAUGGGCGAGAGCCUGAACCAGCCAAGUAGCGUGAGGGAUGACUGCCCUAUGGGUUGUAAACUUCUUUUAUAAAGGAAUAAAGUCGGGUAUGGAUACCCGUUUGCAUGUACUUUAUGAAUAAGGAUCGGCUAACUCCGUGCCAGCAGCCGCGGUAAUACGGAGGAUCCGAGCGUUAUCCGGAUUUAUUGGGUUUAAAGGGAGCGUAGAUGGAUGUUUAAGUCAGUUGUGAAAGUUUGCGGCUCAACCGUAAAAUUGCAGUUGAUACUGGAUAUCUUGAGUGCAGUUGAGGCAGGCGGAAUUCGUGGUGUAGCGGUGAAAUGCUUAGAUAUCACGAAGAACUCCGAUUGCGAAGGCAGCCUGCUAAGCUGCAACUGACAUUGAGGCUCGAAAGUGUGGGUAUCAAACAGGAUUAGAUACCCUGGUAGUCCACACGGUAAACGAUGAAUACUCGCUGUUUGCGAUAUACUGCAAGCGGCCAAGCGAAAGCGUUAAGUAUUCCACCUGGGGAGUACGCCGGCAACGGUGAAACUCAAAGGAAUUGACGGGGGCCCGCACAAGCGGAGGAACAUGUGGUUUAAUUCGAUGAUACGCGAGGAACCUUACCCGGGCUUAAAUUGCAGAUGAAUUACGGUGAAAGCCGUAAGCCGCAAGGCAUCUGUGAAGGUGCUGCAUGGUUGUCGUCAGCUCGUGCCGUGAGGUGUCGGCUUAAGUGCCAUAACGAGCGCAACCCUUGUUGUCAGUUACUAACAGGUUCCGCUGAGGACUCUGACAAGACUGCCAUCGUAAGAUGUGAGGAAGGUGGGGAUGACGUCAAAUCAGCACGGCCCUUACGUCCGGGGCUACACACGUGUUACAAUGGGGGGUACAGAGGGCCGCUACCACGCGAGUGGAUGCCAAUCCCCAAAACCUCUCUCAGUUCGGACUGGAGUCUGCAACCCGACUCCACGAAGCUGGAUUCGCUAGUAAUCGCGCAUCAGCCACGGCGCGGUGAAUACGUUCCCGGGCCUUGUACACACCGCCCGUCAAGCCAUGGGAGCCGGGGGUACUUGAAGUGCGUAACCGCGAGGAGCGCCCUAGGGUAAAACUGGUGACUGGGGCUAAGUCAUAAC
rnacentral:rRNA from 1 species